rnacentral:rRNA from 1 species
GACGGAGGGUGCAACCGUUGUUCGGAAUCACUGGGCAUAAAGAGCACGUAGGCUGCGCGCUAAGUCAGGUGUGAAAUCCCCCGGCUCAACCGGGGAACUGCACCUGAUACUGGCGUGCUCGAGGACGGUAGGGGUGAGUGGAACUCCAGGUGGAGCGGUGAAAUGCGUAGAUAUCUGGAGGAACACCGGUGGCGAAAGCGGCUCACUGGACCGUCUCUGACGCUGAGGUGCGAAAGCUAGGGUAGCAAACGGG